ACACCGUUGGUGAAGUGGUUAUCAUGCUUGCCUUCCAACUCACGAGAAGAUUGUAAAGCAAGCGGCUCGGGUUCGAUUCCCGAACGGUGUA